UGUUAGUCUUCUGUUAAAGACUGGGGCCCAACCUCAGGAGUGCGGAGGAACCGGCAAAACUAGAGAGUGAGAGAGGUGAACGGAACUCAUGGUGUAGGAGUGAAAUCCGUUGAUAUCAUGGGGAACACCAAAGGCGAAGGCAGUUCACUGGCUCAUUUCUGACACUGAGACACGAAAGCGUGGGUAGCGAAUGGGAUUAGAUACCCCAGUAGUCCACGCCCUAAACGAUCCUAACUAGUUUUGGGGAGUAUCGACCCUCUCCGAGACGAAGCAAACGCGUUAAGUUAGGCGCCUGGGUAGUACGAGCGCAAGCUUAAAACUCAAAGGAAUAGACGGGGACUCGCACAAGCGGUGGAGCGUGCGGCUUAAUUCGUCGCUAAGCGAAGAACCUCACCAAGGCUUGAAACCUACGGGAACACAACCAGCAACGGAUGUGGCCUUCGGGCUCGUAGGCAGGUGAUGCAUGGCCGUCGUCAGUUCGUGGUUUGAAUUGUACCG
rnacentral:rRNA from 1 species